AGAUGUGGUUCCAACUCUUUGAAAACAUAACCCAUGAUGUUGAAACAGACUACUGUAAAGCCCUUCCCUGGGUUGGUACUCACCUGGACCAUCACUCACAUCCUUCUCCCAGAUGUUGCUUCCACUCCUUUGUCUUCAAAUGCAACCUGGAUCUAGGUGAGAGCUGCAGACCUGUCUCUUCUCCUCAGUGCAUGGACAAAGCACAGCACACAGAGUGGCAAGAAGGGAUGCCAAUCAGACUUCUGCCUUAACGAAUAGGCAUUUAUAACAGUGAGAGCCAUCCAGGCCGCUAGCGUCUGGAAUACCUGCGUCCUAAGAAAUCCAAUAUGAAAAAGAAAAAAAAAAAAGAGGAUGAGUCAGCUUCAUAAAGUUCAAUCAAAACCCUAAGGCCCAGAUCCACAAAGGGAUUUAGGUGAGACCAUGCUGAGGCCUUGUCAGUCUGCAGUGCUUCUUACCCAUACCUUCUGCCUUCCAGGAGACUGUCCUAAUCAUUAAGUAUAAGCAGGUAUGCAGGAAGGAACAGGGCAGUAUUGGAGUAAAUAAAAUGACCCUGUGGCCUCA
rnacentral:lncRNA from 1 species